UACAGAGGGUGCGAGCGUUAAUCGGAAUUACUGGGCGUAAAGCGCGCGUAAGCGGCUUUGCAAGUCGAGUGUGAAAUCCCCAGGCUUAACCUGGGAACUGCAUUCGAGACUGCAUGGCUAGAGUAUGGGAGAGGGAAGUGGAAUUUCAGGUGUAGCGGUGAAAUGCGUAGAUAUCUGGAGGAACACCGGUGGCGAAGGCGGCAUCCUGGACCGGUAUUGACGCUGAGGCGCGAAAGCCAGGGGAGCAAACGGG
rnacentral:rRNA from 1 species